GCAGAAAGAGGCCAAUGGGCGCUGAGCGUCGAAGUGGGUGGGGACACGGCUCGAAGUGACAGCCAAUGAAAGAGCAAAGACACUACAUACCCGAGGAAAGAGAACAAUUGAGCCGAACAACAGGAAAACAGCCCAAUGGGCUGAAAGCAGCACUUAUCUGACCCCUCCAGCGAGGAGGCGGGACUAAAGCCAAAACUGAUGGUAGAGAUGACUAGUGGGCAACAAGCCCAACUUUGAGGGAGGGACAGCGUCUUUGGCCCAAUUGUGGUGUCCCCGGGCUCUCCCUCUGGAAGCGGCCAAAGGGCACCGGGGUAGCGGAGAAGUCGGGGCUACAGCGUGAGGCGACGUCCAAUGGGAAUGUGUUUUUUUACGAAUGCGAAGAUUUACAAAAAAUUUAACCAAUCUCUGACUACUUUUCUGUCUCGGGGUGGGGGUGGAGGCUCGAGGUAGCAGCCAAUGAACCGGGAGAUUGGCGAUGAUGGCUGCUAGUUCGGAGUAAGAGCGGGGAAACUUGAAGGGAGUGAAGGGGUGGGACCGAAUGGCAGAGUUGACCAAUGGAGACUUAACAGUCUUCAGCCACUUCUUGAGGGUGAGCCUGAGAGGGCUGGGAUUGAUUUAGUCAAUAAAUACCUAGAGAGGAUAAGAAGUGGCUUUAUAUGGAAAAGAUGGGGUAGUGAUGCCCCGACCAAUCAGGAGCGAAAAAGAGGUGAUUGCUACACUAAAGUCAGAUUUUUCCCCCGAAAAUUCUUUUGAGUGGGCAGGACCACGUGGCCGCUUCAGGGAAAGGAGGGGAGAAGAUGACGUGUUCUUUUGCUCACAUGGCUCCGGAGGCUGUGGAAUAAUGAACAGGAGGAUUUCAGAAAGAGCUGGAAAGACCUCCAUGAACUGCGCAGAGUGAAAUGAGCAGAACCAGGAAAAUAUGGUACACAGUAACUGCAAUAUUAUGGAAUGAUCAAUACAAUGAUCUAAUAUUGAGGAAUUUAUGAAAAAGAAUGCUAUCCAUCUCCAGAGAAAGAACUGUUGGAGUAGAAAUGCAGAUGAAAACCUAUGCUUUUUCUCUUGUUGUUUUGGGGUUUUGGUUCUAUAAGAUUAUUCACUUACACAAAUGAAUAACAUGGAAAUAUGUUUUAUGUAAGAAUAUAUAUAUAAUGCAGAUCAAAUUGCUUGCCAGUUUGGGGAAGAAGAGGGAGAUAAGAUAAAUUGUAUAACUUUGGGAAAUUUAUUAUUAAAUUAUUAUUUUUAUUGUUUGUUAA